rnacentral:rRNA from 1 species
UACGUAGGGUGCGAGCGUUGUCCGGAUUUACUGGGCGUAAAGGGCUCGUAGGUGGUGUGUCGCGUCGUCUGUGUAAUCCAGGGGCUUAACUUUUGGUUGGCAGGCGAUACGGGCAUUGCUUGAGUGCUGUAGGGGAGACUGGAAUUCCUGGUGUAGCGGUGAAAUGCGCAGAUAUCAGGAGGAACACCGAUGGCGAAGGCAGGUCUCUGGGCAGUUACUGACGCUGAGGAGCGAGAGCAUGGGUAGCGAACAGG